GGACGUGUCUUCCAAACAGAGUAUAGUUCCAAAGAAGACAUGGUAUCCCAGCAACCAAAUGUACAACACAGGAGACAGAUGAAUUUCUCAUUCUUGUAGGCUACCAUUUCUUUUGGCUUAUUACAAAACAACAGGAUGCUGCAGCUUUAUCAAAGUCUACUUAUUUGUCCACUAAAAGUUUAUGGCUAUACGUUUCCAACUAGAACAUCUGAACACCAAUAUAUGGAAUUCUGACAAAGUUAAAACCAGGAAGAGAUCCUAUGAAGGCUGACAUUUUGUACAUCUGUUUUAUAGAACAAUAAAAAUAAGAAGAACAAGAAUAAGAACAGCAACAACAUUUGCAGCCACUGUCUAGACCACAGGAAACCUGGUCAACAACAUAUGGGAUGUCACCAGAUUCAGACUCAGAAGUUUCCAUAAUGCCGUUGCCAACAGCUAGACACAAUGAAGAAACGGCUAUAUAGAGAGAUAAAGAAGCUUGCUCAAGGAUACACAGCCAGAAAGCAAAAGAGUUGGAGUUUGAACUUCGACAGUCUAACUCGAGGUUCUUUCUCUGUGUUUAAUCAGUCAACCACACUGCCUCUUCAGAAGCACGCAUAAUGUAUGCUCUAAAAAGUAAUGUCAAUGUAUUAGGUGUCAAACAGUAAA
rnacentral:lncRNA from 1 species